AUGGCCAGCUUCUGUAGUGGCCCCAGGUCUGGCUGCUGGUUUGUCUCCCUCCUAUUCAAGAAUUUAAAGAUGGCUUCUGCCCAGGCUGACCUGACAGUGUUCCCGUAUGAGUGUCCCGGUCUUCAGGUACCCUCAGUCUGGUCAUAUGCCACACCUAAGACUCAGUGCCAGGCUUCAGCAGGAAGGUCAAAGGGUGCCUGGACAUCUGGCGCGGCGACCCCAUUUCACCUUACUGCCUGCCUGCCUGGUGAGGGGUUGCAGCGGCUCCCAUGUUUCCUCUAUAAUAAACCAGAACUUGGCAAA
rnacentral:lncRNA from 1 species